rnacentral:rRNA from 1 species
AUUGAACGCUGGCGGCAGGCCUAACACAUGCAAGUCGAGCGGGGUUUUCGGACCUAGCGGCGGACGGGGUGAGUAAUGCGUAGGAAGCUACCCGAUAGAGGGGGAUACCAGUUGGAAACGACUGUUAAUACCCGCAUAAUGUCUACGGACCAAAGUGUGGGACCUUCGGGCCACAUGCUAUCGGAUGCGCCUACGUGGGAUUAGCUAGUUGGUGGGGUAAUGGCUCACCAAGGCGACGAUCCCUAGCUGGUUUGAGAGGAUGAUCAGCCACACUGGAACUGAGACACGGUCCAGACUCCUACGGGAGGCAGCAGUGGGGGAAUAUUGGACAAUGGGCGGCAAGACCUGAUCCAGCCAUGCCGCGUGUGUGAAGAAGGCCUCGGUUGUAAGUACGACUUCUAC